rnacentral:rRNA from 1 species
AGCUCCAAUAGCGUAUAUUAAAGUUGUUGCAGUUAAAAAGCUCGUAGUUGGAUUUCUGGUUCAGAGGGCUUGGCCCAUGGCCAAUUUAGGUUCAUGAGUGCCGAUGCUUUCGUACCAUCCUUCCGGUGAUGAUUCAGGUCCCCUUCAUUGGGUCAGCCUGGUUGUUCCGGAUCUUUUACUUUGAAAAAAUUAGAGUGUUUAAAGCAAGCUGUGUGUUGAAUACAUUAGCAUGGAAUAAUAAUCUAGGACUUUGGUUCUAUUUUGUUGGUUUCUAGCGCCAAAGUAAUGAUUGAUAGGGAUAGUUGGGGGUGCUAGUAUUUACCGGCCAGAGGUGAAAUUCUUGGAUUCGGUAAAGACUAACUUAUGCGAAAGCAUUCACCAAGGAUGUCUUCUUUA